GGAAGUUAAAAGCAGUGAUAACAUUAAAGUUACCCAAUGCUGCUGUUAAGGAACAAAGGCAGCCAUGGAGAAUACAUAAAUGAAUGGGCGUGGCUCCGUUCCAAUGACUAUUUAUAAAAACAGGAGGCGGGCUGCAUUUAUUCUGCAGAUAUAACUUGAUGACCCUGGAUGCAAAGAGUUAACAGAGAUAUGGCAUGAACAUGUAUUAGAAAAAUGAUUCACACACAAUAGAAAAAAUAAGUAAGACCAGGAUUGGGUGGCUUUGGAGAAUGUAAUUUCAGCUUGAAUAUGAAGAUGCUUGUAGAACAGUGUUCCUUCCUCUGAACAUGGCUACAGAAGAACAAAUCAGUUAGUCUGAAGGAAUAGCAUCCAGCUGUGGCAAGAGAGAACAUUAACUGUAACUUGAAGACUGAGUCCAAGGUGAGCAUAAGAAGAAAGCUAUAGGCAU
rnacentral:lncRNA from 1 species